rnacentral:ncRNA from 1 species
CCCAGGUGUAGCUUAGGUGGGAUUGCUUUACGGCGCAAGUGAAAGACCACUACUGCGUUCCUCGUUCAACUCACUCGAUGAGGACCACGAGAGCGGCCGCAUUCGGGGCGGUGUCGGCGAGCGCAAGGUGCUAAGCGAGGGGUCCCCCGCGCUAAGGGCGCUUCGUCGGUUUCGGCCGGCGGGGUGUUCUGCGGGACCAGGUCUCUCGCGAGGGCGAUCGAGGACAGAGUCAGUUCUGAAUUUAACUGGGGCGGUGUGCCCGCGAAACUCUAGCGCGGGCGCCCCAAGGCCAGCUUCAGAAGGGGGAGAAACCCUUGGUAGAGCGAAAGGGCAAAUGCUGGCUUGAGGAUGCUUUUCAGUAGGAGGGAUCCGUGUGAAAGCAAGGCCUAUCGAUCCUUUUGUGUCGCCCUUAGGGCGACGAUGGGAGAGCUCUAUUUUUACUGCUUCCCGCAAGAGGUGUCAGAAAAGUUACCACAGGGAUAACUGGCUUGUGGCAGCCAAGCGUUCUUAGCGACGUUGCUUUUUGAUCCUUCGAUGUCGGCUCUUCCUAUCAUUGCGAAGCAGAAUUCGCCAAGCGUUGGAUUGUUCACCCACCAACAGGGAACGUGAGCUGGGUUUAGACCGUCGUGAGACAGGUUAGUUUUACCCUACUGGUAGGGAACUCUUUACGAACGAGCGGCUACGAGCGGGUAGGACUGACUAGUACGAGAGGAACGUUGGUCCGGGAUUGAAAGCGUUGGUGCUUGGUGGUUUAUUGCCAUUGGGGCUUUGCCUUUGUCCUGNGGCUUACGGCUGAACGCCUCUAAGCCGGAAUCCCGUCCCACGACGUCCGCGUCUGCUUUUCCGAGACGGGCGACAGAACGAUUAGGCCCCUCCUCGCUCUUCCCGAGUGACUGGGGUGGUGUGUGUCCGACCUGUAUAUUUCGGCAGGUGUCUUUCGAAAGCAGGAAAAUCUGCUUGCAGACGACUUGGGUUUGUGCGAGUCGGGGCNNNNNNNNNNNNNNNNNNNNNNNNNNNNNNNNNNNNNNNNNNNNNNNNNNACCACGGGGCACUUACCCGGUCCGGACAUCGUCAGGAUUGACAGACGCUCGUGCAGUUCUUUCUCGAUUCGAUGGGUGGUGGUGCAUGGCCGUUCGUGGCUGGUGAAGUGAAAAGUCUGGUUUAUUCCGCUAACGGGCGAGGCCUCGCCCUUAACUAGUCGGCUCGUGGUUCUCGAAUCGUAGUCUCCCUUCGGGGAGCAGGGAGAACAUCGGGCGAGUCGCAGCGAUCGUCGCUACUUCUUAGGGGGAUCCCGAGCAAGCUUAAGCUAGGUGAGAGAGAUCAAUAACAGGUCAGUGAUGCCCUUAGAUGUCCGGGGCCGCACGCGCGCUACACUGAAGACGAAAGCGCGAGUGCCUACGGUCUUGGUUUGGUCAGGCCGGGAACCCGCCCCGAGAGGGGAGGUUGGGGCUGUUCCUUCACGGGGGCAGUCUCGCCUACUGCGGGUUAACCGUGCCAAUCGUCUUCGUGCUGGGGAUCGGGGCUUGCAACUCAGCCCCGUGAACGAGGAAUUCCGAGUAGGCGUCCGUCAUCAGCUGGCGCCGAUUAAGUCCCUGCCUUUUGUACACACCGCCCGUCGCUACCUCCGAUAGAAUGGCUAAGCGAGGCCGUUGGACUGGGCCUGCUUUCGAGUGGGCCCGGAAAGGCGUUCGAGCUUAAUCAUUUAGAGGAAGUAAAAGUCGUAACAAGGUUUCCGUAGGUGAACCUGCGGAAGGAUCAUUA